AUACGUAGGGGGCAAGCGUUAUCCGGAAUUACUGGGCGUAAAGGGAGCGUAGGCGGUUUGACAAGCCAGUGGUGAAAGGCAAUAGCUUAACUAUUGUAAGCCAUUGGAACUGUCGAACUUGGGUGCAGGAGAGGUAAGUGGAAUUCCUAGUGUAGCGGUGAAAUGCGUAGAUAUUAGGAGGAACACCAGUGGCGAAGGCGACUUACUGGACUGUAACUGACGCUGAGGCUCGAAAGCGUGGGGAGC
rnacentral:rRNA from 1 species